UACGUAGGGUGCGAGCGUUAAUCGGAAUUACUGGGCGUAAAGCGUGCGCAGGCGGUUAUGCAAGACAGAUGUGAAAUCCCCGGGCUCAACCUGGGAACUGCAUUUGUGACUGCAUGGCUGGAGUGCGGCAGAGGGGGAUGGAAUUCCGCGUGUAGCAGUGAAAUGCGUAGAUAUCUGGAGGAAUACCGGUGGCGAAGGCGGCAUCCUGGACCGGCAUUGACGCUGAUGAGCGAAAGCCAGGGGAGCAAACGGG
rnacentral:rRNA from 1 species